rnacentral:rRNA from 1 species
UUCGCAAUGCCCGAAAGGGUGACCCAGCAACGCCGCGUGGAGGAUGAAGGUCGUAAGAUUGUAAACUCCUGUUGGAGGGGACGAAUAGUCUCGAUUUAUCGGGAUUUGACUGUACCCUCAGAGGAAGCCCCGGCUAAAUACGUGCCAGCAGCCGCGGUAAUACGUAUGGUGCGAACGUUGUUCGGAAUCACUGGGCAUAAAGAGCACGUAGGCGGUUGAGCAAGUCCAUUGUGAAAUCCCCCGGCUUAACCGGGGAACUGCUGUGGAUACUACUUGACUUGAGUGCAGGAGGGGAGAGUGGAAUUCCAGGUGGAGCGGUGAAAUGCGUAGAUAUCUGGAGGAACGCCGGUGGCGAAAGCGACUCUCUGGUCUGCAACUGACGCUGAGGUGCGAAAGCUAGGGGAGCAAACGGGAUUAGAUACCCCGGUAGUCCUAGCCCUAAACGAUGGGCACUAAGUAGAGGGGUUUUA